rnacentral:lncRNA from 1 species
CAAGUUAGUUUUGCGUCCGUCACCCGCCGAAUAGAUCAUCUCGGCGCAUCUACUAUAAUCUAUGUAUAUCGAUGCCGUUCUUCGAAAACACGUCAAUGUUCAUAAUACUGAGACAUCAGUCGAGUAAAAUGCUCUGCUCGCGUAAGAAGGCAUAGACGAUCGAAACGGGUAGUAAAUAUUUGUCGCGCUUCACAACAUUAAUGGUGGACGCUGAUGUAUCUCCGAGCCGAGCGCAGAACUCGUGAUGAAGCCGCGGAAACAAAAUCCUGCCCGGCUUGACUUUGUCGUUAAUUUCCUCUGUAGACGCGGUGAGACGCUCCAAAUAGAGGCCGGAGCUGAAUUAAUAGAAAAUAGGUGAAUACAAGUUGACCCGUGGGAAACUCAUCUACCGUUAAGUUUGUUCUAUUUAAUCACACAUUCAGCUUCUAUGAAAGCUGGUGGCAACUCGGUCUGUCCUAGGUUGGGGAAUAUGAGGUCCAGUUUGAGGAACUAGUCGUCCAGCCAUUUGGUAUGUGCUAUAAAUUGCAACUUGCGAGGCUUUUUAUGUACCACAAUCUAACGUUGUUGAAUUUGUUUAUAAAUGGUUUUAGACAUUCGACCCAUGUGACGAUAACGUCGAAAGUGAUAAUCUUCGUCAAUAACCCCAAAAUGGACACAAGCCGUGGGGUUCAUAGAACAGAUUAUGGAUUUUUUUAUUUUUCAACAUAGAAAUGUCUUUUGUCCGGCGAAAAAAAAGUUGUGCUUCAGUGUUCUUAUUAAGUUCUUUUACAGCGAAUGCAUGGUACAUCUACAGAUAAGGUAACCAGUAGGUUGCCACUAAGCGCGUCGUUUAUUAUGUCUAUUAUUACGAUCUUAUAUUUCCUACCGAUGACUUAGCGAUAUCAAUCAAACUAAUUAUAAAUAAUCGUACCAGGUAAUUAUCGUUUGCAAAUGACUACUGCCAUUGUCUAUUCUCGUGCAUCGAAAUUUUGGCCGAUGACUGACUUAACUUGAAUGGGUUUGGCUAAACGAGGUAGGAUUGACGUUUUACCUACAGUAGAAUGGCGCAUAUCCGGCGAGCACGGAACGAGAACUAUAUUCAUUUAUACAGCUGAGCGCAUAGGACAACCGCUAGCUUCUCUUAGACAUUGGGCAGUGAAACACGGUGUCGCCAUACUGGACGUGUAUCGGAACGGUUCUGUUUCCUGAUAGCAAGCUGUUUGAAAAAAACGUUCAUGCUUCAUGUGUACCAGUGAAGAUUCCUCUGGACUUGGCUGAACCCGAACGACUAUAUCGUAAUGCAGACGACAGAGUGUGUGUUGAUGUCUACUGCAUUUUGAAGCAUGGCGCCUUGUGAUUGCCCCUCUCGCCUUUUCCGUACAAAACCUGUCCUAAGGAAAUUGUCCAUGCACUAAAGGCGCCGCUUGAUGAAACUUUGUCAGAGUAACCGACAACGACAUAACACAAAAUUGCUGAACUAAGCAGGUCAACACGCGAGUCGAUCAUUUGUAACGCAGUUUGUACCUGACAGCGUCACCGAGUAGAGGCAAACAAGAGGCCAUACGUUGGGUAAAUAUGUGUAUGUGUAUGUGUAUGUGUAUGUACGAAUUGAAUAGGGAGUUCCACUCCAGAAAGCACGCUGCAUUGUACUUCAUUAUAGAAGGAGACAGGUUCUGAGGUUUUUGUGCAAUGUGGAUCGUACGACGAGAUCAGGUUCAAGGAUAGGAACGAGGCCGCGUGCGCCAUCCAUCGCUCGCGUGCACUUAAAUGCGUGACAAGAGUCCAUUCUGCCUACAGGUAUAUGCAUUACGGCCUAGAGAGACAUGUCACAAACAGUCGUCUACUGUGAAGCCAACCAUGUACAGUUUGCCCCUUUAUCUUGUGCUUGCCCCGUUUGGAAUCCUCGCACCCAGAUGUACGGCAGCGAUUCAAAAGCAUAAAUCAAGUGUCUACAAAAUAUCCGAUAGCCGACGAGCUCGCGCUGGCGAAAAAGUGGUGGUCAACAUUUACAUUGCGGGCCCCCCGAGAAUGUCAAGGCUAAAAGCUAAACGGAAUACGGAGAGAAACGAACAGUGGAUAGCAGUCGAGAACACACACGCAGGAACUUUAAAUCGGACACCAUCAAGGCCCGAAAAUCGACGAAGACAGCAGCGGUAAAGAAAAACCGAAAGUAAACGUCGGAGACUGCGCCAUGCGUCUCGCCAAGGCCCCCUGUACCCCCUUUCCCGAACGCUUCCGCGAAGAACGGCUGCAUUUGAAGUUUUCUGUGCCAAGGUCUCCAGAUCAAUCCACAGGUCAACGGCAAAACGAGCGAAAAAAAAAACGCUCCCUUACGGGCGGCCAUUUUAUACUACCUGGCUAAUACGAAGUUUGCCUUCCGUUAUCUGCACUGACCGUCGUUAUACAGGCUACAACUGACGUAAUAGGACGACUCCAGCAUGGCCACUCCGCGCUCACGACUAUCGGUUGGCCUAAAAAUUUAUCGACGUAGACAAGCGCCCAGUGGUGACUGUCAUUGGCAUUAUAUCGAUGAAUAUAGUCCUGGCUAUCGCUACCGCUGUCCUACUGGAAUAGUCGUUAUUUUGCUAUGUGGUGUUAUCCAGGAUAUUAUUGAUGAGCAGCGUGUUCGGUUAGUCAAAAUUUGAACUUGUUUGGAGAUAGUAGUCACUGAGUAAUUUUUUAUCUAAAUUUGGGUCAGUCAGGACCUGUU